rnacentral:lncRNA from 1 species
GACUUGGUUAGAAAGCUUUAUAUGUUGAUAAGUUAAGAAUCUACUAUUCUUAAAAAUGUUCAAUUUUACCUUUUAUAGAAUACUAGGGUUUCCGCCCGUGCUAUGCACGGUUCAGUCUAUUGUUUUUAAACUUUGUUUGAUUAUCGUUUUCAAUCAAACUAAAUUAUUACUUUUAUCAAAUAUUCUAUGAACACUGGCACAAAAUAUUAGAAGUGCAUGUAUUCAAACAAAGCUGUUGAAAGCUGUACAACAAUAACUAUGAAAUUAUUUUAAAAUGGAUACAUGUUUGCAAUACUUAUAAUUUACAUACAUUAUUGU